rnacentral:snRNA from 1 species
AAGGUUGAUUGCACUUUCAACGA